AAAUCAAUGUCAUAUCUUUAUUACUUAAUAGAAAUUCUGUACAAAAUAACUAAAAGAUAUUACACCAUAUGGCGACGACGAUCCUCCACAAUCCCUAGUUGACUGGGAGACGAUGGCCUAGAUCUCUCCAAACUCAUCUUCAUCAGAGUCUUCCUCCACUUCUGGAUGCACCUGUUCUUAACCUGGGGAGUUUAGCAAGGGUGAGCUCCCAUACGGUCAUCGCUCAACAAGUUGUGGGAAAUAGUGUAGUGUAAGGCUUACCAAAGAGAAUGAUUAAGGCUGAGCAUUGCUUUUAAUAAGUUGGUCAAAAUUUUAUUAGCAGUUACUAAGUAUAAGUAUAUACCAUCCCAGUUAAAUAAUUGAUCACAAUUAGUAAUAAAUCCCACAAUGCAAUGCAAUGCAUGUCAAAUUGAGUUUAGUUCCAUAAUUUACUCAUGUGAGGGUCCGAGCCGCUCUUGACCGUGAGCAUGGCUGAUAUACCAGUUUUAUACUCUGCAGAGGUUGCACAUCUUAACCCACAAGUCGUGUUACCCAUUUGCCACGGGGUCAUGAAUCCCAUACAUCUCUACCGAGGAGACGAGGCAGGGUAUCACUACGAGGCCUUUACAAAGUUCCACUAGCUUCAGAAAACCCGCUACAGUUUCAUGAGAAGAGCGAUACAGGAAUCCCUCGUCCAAAAAGCCAUCGCAGCAUGAUUGACCCGAGAACCUCCCUAUACCGGCAACUCCUCUACCGCCCUUGCCCCUUUCGGGUAAGGUAGUCCUCCACUAGCUUUCCUAAUUAGUUAGCCAAGGGCGUCCCAUUCCACCCCUAUGGUAGCACUGUUUUCUCGGGUGGUUCUCCAUGUUCCAGUUAACAAAAUGAUCUUAUCAUGAACAAUAAUAGAUAACCAACAAUAAUAAAUCAUAUUGGAACAUGGUCAUGAAUCAUAGUAUCAUUAGCCCAAAAACCAGGUAGAGCACUAGCAAGACUACCCAAUAAUUCAUUUGUACACAAGGUGCAGGGUAAACAAAUCUAGGUAACCUAUUAGGUCCCAUCAGCUUAACCUAACAGUGUCACGGUGAUUAAGAAUAAUGAACAUUAUUAGGUUAAAGAAUGUGAUCAAGGACACAACUUGCCUUUUUGGUGCAAACUCCAGGUACUUCUCCAAUUUGAUCUUCAGGUUCCUUGUCGUAACCUCGCUUCUAUCGUAGCAAAACAUAUAUAUAGGCAAACAAUGAACAAAAAUAACAUUACAUCAAACAUGAGAACAAACUGCAUAAGAAUAUUCUACGCGUCGAGACGAGACCGUGGGUUCGAGAACCACUAAAAUCGGAGCUAAAACGUGGAAGAUGUAAAUUAAACAAGUUUUAGCAAUUAUUUUCAUACUAAAAAUUGAUUUAUAUAUUCAAUUUACCAAUAUUUAAUUACUGUUGGACGACUAGAUAUAUUUUUAAAUAAGUUCAGGGUGUAUUCUGUAAAUUCCGGGACCUAGAUUCUAUUCCCAUUCGAAACAGGGGGAGGAUGAGUCGUAAGGGGAAAAAGAAAAAAUGGCGCUCGGUCCCCUGGGCCGGUUCUUCUUCCUCCAGCGCCCUUCCCUCCCCUUCGCUUGGUUCGCAGUGUCGUGUGGCGCGGUCUCCUGCUGUUGGGCCGCUUCCUUCGUGCCUCUCCUUGGCCCAGGGAUACAGUAUCCCGGCUCAGGCGCCGAAGCGGUCCCUGGAUUGGCGUCCUUCUUGGAUCGGAUGGAAUCAAGGCGUCACGCCGCUCCCUUCUCGCCUGCUUCCCCUCACGCGUGAGUCGUCUCGUUCGCUGUCUUCUCCGCCCGUAAACCCCUCUCCAUCGUUAGGGUUUCCUCCGGAUUUUGUUGGUGCGUAUUCUUUUCCUCACUGCGCCGCCUUUCUCUCGCACCUCUGGUCUCUCCCGUCUUCGGUGAGAUCUAGUUUUGGCGGAGGUUGGUGCGUUUCGCCUUUUCGGCCGCCGGUGGUUGAGGAGGAGUGGCCGCUUCUGGGGUCUGGCGGUUUUCGAAGUCCUUCGAAAAUCUCUACUAUGGAUCCGAAAGGAAAGAAUCCUCAGAACUCCCAAUGGGAUCGUUGGGGUCCGAUGGAGAAGCCGCAAGGUUCUCAUUCUUGGAACAGACCAAGAAACCUAAGCUGGAAGCUGAAGCCGAACGUUGGCAAAUCUGAACAGCAGGAGGGGGUGUUGUCCCCCAAUCCUGGUGAGGGAUCUCAACCAGGUAACCCAGCGGUCUCUCCUGUUCCUUUGAAGAAAGAUCUUGAUCUUGUUCGUCCUGCGUUCUGUCAGAAAUGUGGUGCUGGAGGUCAUCAUGCCAGACAGUGUUUUAACGCUUUGUGGUGUGAUAUUUGCCGUAAGGAAACACAUGUCACAGCCCGCUGUGUUCUUCCUAGGCAGAACAAACCCACCAUGCCCAUUGUUGGUUUGGCUGCUGAUGGAUUAGGGUUUUAUCUGUCUCAUUUCGCUAAACCUUUGAUCAAAAAACCAAAGAGGGUUUUUAUCGGUCUGGUUAAAGUGAUUGAGGGAUUAGUCUCGGCUGAAUAUCUUGAGAGGGAUUUCAGUUUUCACUUCCCUUGGAACAAGAGGUGGAAAGCUACUAAGUGCCAUUCGGGGUUUCUGAUGCAGUUCCCCUCCCAAGAACGUCUUGAGGAAAUGAUAAGCUUCCCGGAGCUUAAAAUGAAGAUGUCUGGGGCCAAGAUUGCUGUUGUGCCUUGGAGUUCUAGGGCCAAACCUAAAUCCAGGCUUCAUACUGUGUGGGUUAUUGCUGAAAAUGUUCCUGAGGAAUUGCAGAACUACCAGUCUAUCUGUGAAAUUGGUUCAAUGAUUGGUGCAGUUGAGGAAGUUGACCUUAUGUCCCUGGAUUCAGAUGACAUUGUGAGAUUUAAAAUUCACAUUAAAAGUGUGGCGAUGAUUCCCCCAGUGGUGGAAGUGGCUGUCAAGCCUUUUCUCUAUGAUAUCUUCUUUAGAAUUGAAUCUAUUUGUGAUGAAGGAUGGAAUGAUGAUUCUGUGAAUUUGGGCAAGAGAGCCUCUGUUCAAAUUCAUGGGUCUAAUGAUCCACUUUUUGAUAAAUCUGGGAAAAAACCCAAGAACUUGGAUGACGUUAACCUUGAAGACGACCCUAAUCAUAACCUUAAAAUUGGGGAGUCCUCUUCUCAAGGCAAAGAGUUUGCCAAAAUGUCUGAUCCUACCCUUGUGUCUGCUAAAGAUUUGUCAGAUGAAGAGCAGAAAUUGGAGAAUCUUUCGGAUGAGAAAGUGGAUUUUGAUCCAAAUGAAGAUGACUUGCUUAGCUCUCAAGAACUGGAAGAAUUCGCUAAGGAUAUGGAGGAAGACCAAACUGAUUUUCAAUCUAGAAUUGAUGCAAUGAUCUCGAUCCCCCCUAAUGUUGAGAUUGCUCGUGAUGGGAAGAACAAAAAGAAUCUGGACUUGCCUGCUAACAUGGCUGAUGGCGUCAGGAAAAGCUCUAGACUGGAGAAGAAUGAUGAUGUGAAGGUGGCUGACAAAGCGAUUUACAGAGCCGAAGCCAAAGACGCCUUCCUCAAUAAAGGUAUGUGCUCUAACUCCUUCUCCUUACUUGAUUCUAAUAAUGAUGACCUGAUAGAUUUAGCUAAUAAACUUGGAGUUUCUUUGGGUCCCUCUGACUCUGAUAUGAUUGAUAAUUUGGAGUUGAUCAAGGAUCUGGAACGGUCCAGAAAAAUUUUGGCCUUCCAAGCUUGCAAAGAAAAUAUUUCCUCAAGUGUGGAGGUCCCCUUCAUUGUUGAUCACAAAAGUGUGGAUAGUAGCAUCCAUAAUGAGUCUGAUCUGAAUAUUGAUUAGGACUUUUAUGAUGUGAUGGUCUUAAGAAAAGGUAGAAAGAUUAAGCAUCGGAAAAAACCGAUUAAAAAAAAGGCUUCCCCAAAAAGUAGAGGUUCAUCUACGAAAAAACGGGAGCCUGAUUGUUCUGUCCUCCCUCCUGAUCCGUUUUAAAUCAUGAGAGGCCUCAUUUGGAAUUGCCAGGGUUUGGGUCGCAACUCUAAAUUUGAUUUCCUGAGAGAAACCAUUAGGGAUGAGAAUAUUGAUUUCGUUGGUUUACAAGAAACUAAAAAGGUUCAUUUUAAUGACUCUCUUCUGUCCUCUCUUGCUGGUAGCAAGCUCUUUGCCUGGUUCUCCUCUCCUCCUAAUGGGAGAUCGGGAGGCCUGCUUGUGGGGUUUAAUUAUGAGGUUUUUGAUGUCAGAGAAUUUGAAGCUGGUGAAUUCUUAUCUCGCUCCCUUGUCCUCCAUAGAGAAAAAAAUUUUAUUUGGAAUUUUGUUAAUGUUUAUGGGGCUGCCCAAAAUGAGCAUAAAUCCCGUUUCCUCAGUGAAUUGUCUGCAAUGUGUUCGAGAAGUCAGGUUCCUAUGCUUAUUGGUGGUGAUUUCAAUAUUAUCAGAAGAGCUGAGGAAAAGAAUAAGCCUGGUACCCUCAGCAAGUGGAGUUUUUUGUUUAACAGUAUCAUUGAUCAGCAUGGUCUUGUGGAAUUUGAGCUGAAAAACAGACUAUAUACGUGGUCUAACAACCGUAACGAUCCUACCUUUGAAAAACUUGACAGAUUUUUGGCCAGUCCUGACUGGGAUCUUGCUUAUAAUAAUCUUAGUGUUAUUGGGUUAAAUCGAUCCUUUUCGGAUCAUGUUCCCCUUUGCCUUCAUUCUGAUUCCCGGCCCAUGAUGCGUAAGGACUUUCGUUAUGAGCUGUGCUGGAAGGUUAGGCCUGACUUUCACAAUUUAGUGGAAAAUGUUUGGGCUCUUCCGGUUGGUGUGUCCAAUAGUCUGGAUGUUUGGAAGGUGAAAUUGAAACGUCUGCGUCAAAAGCUUAAGGGUUGGAACAGAAAUAUUGUAGGUCAUUACAAAAAAGUGAAGAAAUCCUUGAUUGAGAAAAUUGAUAUUUUGGAUAAAACUAGUGAGACUUCUGGCUUAUCUGAGGCUGACAGGUAUUUGAAAUUAGAUUUGGAAUCUAACCUCAGGAAGAUUGUUAAUGAGGAAAACAUUAGCCUUAGACAAAAAGCGAGAGACAAAUUCUUAUUAGAAGGUGAUGAGAAUUCUAAGUAUUUUCAUUUACUGGCUAAACACAAAAAAAGGAAACUGAAAAUUGUGUCGCUUUCUCACGGUGAUAAUGUGGCUCAUGAUGAUCUUGGCAUUAAUCAGUUGGCGACUUCUUUUUACAAGGAUCUCUUUGGUCCUUCUCAGGGAUCGAAUAUUUCUUUGGCUAAUUUGGACAUGAAACAGCUUGAGGAGGGUGAUAGAGAUCUUCUUACCAGCCCUUUUUCCUUGGAAGAGAUUAAAGAUGUGGUGUUUGCUUUGAAACACAAUAGUGCUCCGGGCCCCGAUGGCUUCCCUGCUGAAUUUUUUCAGGAGUUUUGGGAUGUUAUAAAGGGUGAUUUGUUUAAUCUCUUUAAAGCUUUUCAUGAUGGUUCUCUCAACAUUGAGAGACUUAAUUUUGGUGUUGUCACUCUUAUCCCUAAGGUCCCUGAUGCGACUGAUAUCAAAGCUUUUCGCCCCAUUUGCUUGCUUAAUGUUUGCUACAAAAUCAUCACCAAAGUUCUUACUAAUAGACUGGCCCGGUGCAUUACCUCAGUGAUUAGUGAUCUUCAGUAUAGGUUUAUCAAAGGAAUAUACAUUAUGGAUGGUGUUCUUUCUCUACAUGAGAUUAUCCAUGAAGUUAAACGUAAAAAACAAGAUGGGGUUAUUUUCAAAGUUGAUUUUGAAAAAGCUUAUGACAAGGUUAACUGGAAUUUUCUUCAUAAUAUGAUGCUGAAAAAAGGCUUUGGUGAUAAGUGGAGUGAUUGGGUUUUGAAGACUGUGAAAGGUGGUAAAGUUGCUAUCCGUACUAAUGAUGUGGUCGGGCCCUACUUCAAAACCCAUAAAGGUGUUCGCCAAGGUGAUCCUUUCUCCCCUCUCCUUUUUAAUGUGGCUGCCGAUGGUCUUGCUUGUCUGAUUCAAAAAGCCAAGGAUGAAGGUAUUAUUAAAGGUCUUAUUCCCCAUAUUAUUUCUGGUGGCUGCUGUUGCCUUCAAUAUGCUGAUGACACAAUUUUCCUGUUUCAAGAUGAUUUGGAAAAUGCUAGAAAUUUGAAGUUUAUUCUCUGCAUCUUUGAACAGAUUUCUGGUCUUAAAAUCAACUUCCAUAAAAGUGAAAUUAUCUGUUUGGGAAAUGCUCACAAUAGAGAGCAUUUGUAUGCUGACAUCUUCACCUGUCCUCCCAGUGGUCUCCCUAUGAAAUAUUUAGGGGUCCCUAUUGAUAACAAAAAACUGUGCAAAUCUUUGUGGGAGCCCAUAGUUGGAAAGAUUGAGAACAAGUUGGGUUCCUGGCAAGGGCGUUUUCUUAGUUUGGGUGGUCGGCUUGUCUUGAUUAACAGCAGCCUCACCAAUGUUCCCUUAUACAUGCUCUCCCUGUAUAAAUGUCCCAAAGUUGUGAUGAAAAAAAUGGAUAUCUUUAGGAAAAGAUUAUUAUGGCAGGGAGGUCAUGACCAGAAAAAAUACCAUUUGGCUGCGUGGAAUUUAGUUUGCUCUCCCAAAAAUAUGGGUGGUCUUGGUGUUUUG
rnacentral:lncRNA from 1 species